UACGAAGGGGGCUAGCGUUGUUCGGAAUUACUGGGCGUAAAGCGCACGUAGGCGGAUAUUUAAGUCAGGGGUGAAAUCCCAGAGUUCAACUCUGGAACUGCCUUUGAUACUGGGUAUCUUGAGUAUGGAAGAGGUAAGUGGAAUUGCGAGUGUAGAGGUGAAAUUCGUAGAUAUUCGCAGGAACACCAGUGGCGAAGGCGGCUUACUGGUCCAUAACUGACGCUGAGGUGCGA
rnacentral:rRNA from 1 species